rnacentral:lncRNA from 1 species
AGCCAGAUGGUAGCCAGUUAUCAGCCAUAGAGAUUUAUAAUUUCUCUCCUGCUUUUUUUUUUUUUUUUUUUAAUUCUAUGGACAAAGAACGGGCUUCAGUUUAUCUUAUUUUGCUUGUAGACCUGAUUAUGCAGUGAAGUUGCUUCCCAGUAGGACUUUCCUGGCUUCCCUUGUUUAUUUUUGAAGAGUAGGUUGUGUUUCAAGUGUAAAGCCCACCUUAGGACAAAGACCUUGAUCAUGCCACAUAGUAAAUGCCACAUAUUUCUGUUUGGAGAUACAAUUUUUAAAAUACCACGGCUAUGAAAGUAGUUAGAAAAAAUGAAAAAGUUCUUCUCAAGCCUUUUGUUGUAAAAACAAUGCUACUUUAGGGAUUAUCAUGACAGGACCCUCUUUUGCGUUACUUCGGAUAAUGCUGUUCUUUUGUACUCCCCCCAACCACCAGAAUGGCAAAAGAUGGUCAGAGAUGCUCAAGAACUCAUCAGUGAGAAGUCAUACAGGCUUAAGGAUUAGAUAAUUUUAGUUGGAACUUCUUGAGGUCUCCUAACAGGAGGUUUUGUUUUGUUUUGUUUUUUAAAUAUUUAUUAGCAAAAGUUUCACUCUUAGGAGGAAUAGGACUUCAGGUGAGAUUAUGAUAUGAUUCUCAAAAUAAAGACAAUAAAUAUGCCUGCCUAUCACACAAAAAGGGAGUUCUUUUGCUCUGAUUUAACUUUCAAGAGAACUGUGGCAGCAUAGUUUGUGUACUUUGGACAUUCGGAUGAAAUAGCACCGCUGUGGACAGAGCCUUGAGGAGAUUUGCAAGUCUUUCUGUUCUAUUUUACAGACCACAGUGCUGAAGGCACCACAGUGCCACAGAAGAGAAAGAUGCUAGCAACUCCCAUAUGACUCUUCUUUAAUUUAACUCAAUUUAACACACUGCCAUAAAUCAAUGGAAUUCAAUUUAAUUAAACCCUGAUCAAUUAUAUGGUGGAAGCAUAAAGUGAGGCUGCUUCUAUUGGGGAAAGUAUAUAUGGAUGUUCACAAGAGAAGAGCAUGAGUCACGCUGCGUAAAUGCUAAGGUGCUUGACAUGGGACACAGUUAAACCUGCAUCAUAGUGUUUGCUUGAGUUUAAUUGGAUUUGCAGAAGGUGUUCCCGAAACGCCCUCAGGAGCCGAUGCCUGGCACCUGCACAGCAUCCCCCACAAAGGGGAAAUCGGAGACGAUUGUUUACAGAGAAAUCAGUUCAACAUCCAAACUUCAUCUGUGCACUUCAACUAUGAGAUAUAAAUUAAUGUUCUUGUCACUGUGGAGGGGAGCUUUGUGCCCCUCUUCCUCUUCUCUUUCUUCGUCUUGUAUCUCAUGGUUUUCUGUAUCCCCGGAGUAAUUUAUAAUGACUGUAUUAUUUAAUCUAUUAUAAAACUCCAAGCACAGUGAAUGACAUUUAGCCUUUGAUGAAUCUGGGCAUUGAAUUACCAGUGUCUCAGAAGUUGUUCAUGGCUACUUCUUAAUGUUUUACCUUGUUCACAUUUUUUUUCUUUUUAUUCAAUUUUCUUUGAAAACUGAAAAGUCCCAUUAAGUAUAAUGGAUGUAAUAAAAUCUGGGUUUUAGUCGCAAAGU